GUGGGGAAUCUUGCGCAAUGGGCGAAAGCCUGACGCAGCCAUGCCGCGUGAAUGAUGAAGGUCUUAGGAUUGUAAAAUUCUUUCACCGGGGACGAUAAUGACGGUACCCGGAGAAGAAGCCCCGGCUAACUUCGUGCCAGCAGCCGCGGUAAUACGAAGGGGGCUAGCGUUGCUCGGAAUUACUGGGCGUAAAGGGCACGUAGGCGGACAGUUUAGUCAGAGGUGAAAGCCCAGGGCUCAACCUUGGAAUUGCCUUUGAUACUGGCUGUCUUGAGUACGGGAGAGGUGAGUGGAACUCCGAGUGUAGAGGUGAAAUUCGUAGAUAUUCGGAAGAACACCAGUGGCGAAGGCGACUCACUGGCCCGUUACUGACGCUGAGGCGCGAAAGCGUGGGGAGCAAACAGGAUUAGAUACCCUAGUAGUCC
rnacentral:rRNA from 1 species